rnacentral:rRNA from 1 species
UACGUAGGUGGCAAGCGUUGUCCGGAUUUACUGGGCGUAAAGAGCGCGCAGGCGGUCGGAUUAGUCGCGUGUGAAAGCCCCCGGCUCAACUGGGGAGGGUCACGCGAUACUGUUCGACUCGAAGGCAGGAGAGGGAAGUGGAAUUCCUGGUGUAGCGGUGAAAUGCGCAGAUAUCAGGAGGAACACCGAUGGCGAAGGCAGGUCUCUGGGCAUUAACUGACGCUGAGGAGCGAAAGCAUGGGGAGCGAACAGG